AACGAACGCUGGCGGCGUGCUUAACACAUGCAAGUCGAACGGAAAGGCCCCAGCUUGCUGGGGUACUCGAGUGGCGAACGGGUGAGUAACACGUGGGUGAUCUGCCCUGCACUUUGGGAUAAGCUUGGGAAACUGGGUCUAAUACCGAAUAUGACCACUUCUUGGAUGUUGUGGUGGAAAGCUUUUGCGGUGUGGGAUGAGCCUGCGGCCUAUCAGCUUGUUGGUGGGGUAAUGGCCUACCAAGGCGGCGACGGGUAUCCGGCCUGAGAGGGGGUACGGACACAUUGGGACUGAGAUACGGCCCAGACUCCUACGGGAGGCAGCAGUGGGGAAUAUUGCACAAUGGGCGCAAGCCUGAUGCAGCGACGCCGCGUGGGGGAUGAAGGCCUUCGGGUUGUAAACUCCUUUCGCUAUCGACGAAGCCACUUGUGGUGACGGUAGGUAGAUAAGAAGCACCGGCUAACUACGUGCCAGCAGCCGCAGUAA
rnacentral:rRNA from 1 species